AUGGCUCAGGAUGAACGCUAGCGGCAGGCUUAACACAUGCAAGUCGAGGGGCAUCAGGAGUAGCAAUACUUGCCGGCGACCGGCGCAAGGGUGCGUAACGCGUGAGCAACAUGCCCGUAUCAGGGGGAUAAUCCAUGGAAACGUGGUCUAAUACCCCAUAGUAAUUAUGUAAGGCAUCUUAUAUAAUUUAAAGCUUUGGUGGAUACGGAUUGGCUCGCGUGACAUUAGCUAGAUGGUAAGGUAACGGCUUACCAUGGCUACGAUGUCUAGGGGUUCUGAGAGGAAGGCCCCCCACACUGGAACUGAGACACGGUCCAGACUCCUACGGGAGGCAGCAGUGAGGAAUAUUGGACAAUGGAUGGAAAUCUGAUCCAGCCAUGCCGCGUGCCAGGAAGACGGCCCUAUGGGUUGUAAACUGCUUUUGUAUGGGAGCAAUAAGGGCUACGCGUAGUCCGAUGAGAGUACCAUACGAAUAAGCACCGGCUAACUCCGUGCCAGCAGCCGC
rnacentral:rRNA from 1 species